GCGAGCUGGGGCUCUAGCAGCAGAAGCUGGAAGGAGGGGGAUGUUGACUGGAGGCUGCAGGGGUCACUGGAUCACUCUCCCAAGAAGGCAGAGCUCAGCCUGGCCCUGCCUGGAAUACCUCCUGCUACUUGGAACGGGAUGCCCAUUUUGAUCUUAAAACUCGAGGUUCUCGGCAGGAAUGGCCAACGUGAGUGAAGAAGGGAAGAAUGUCAAGAUGGGCCUAGCUGGCCUUCCUCCUGAACUCAAGAGAGUGGCUCAUUAACUGUCUGCUGGAACAAAACCAGGAGAGGGGGCAGGAAGCAGAACCACCCACCAACUACCCGCUCUUUCAUUUCUUUGAUAAAGACUUGCAGCAUUCCUA